GUUACAUCGUUUCCAAAAGUCCACCUCAUUUGAAAACCUAAUCUCCCAAACAAAUUUCCCUCCGUUUCGAAAAUCGUUCUUGUCAUCCUCUGUCAAACCUACUUGUGAUGAAAAUAGUUCCCCUUUACUCUUUACUCAUUCUGCUCAUUGUUUCCAUUAGAGAAUGUAGUUGCAUCCCAUAAUUUUUCUGAUAGAUAUCGGUAUUUGUUUAGGUUUUGUCUGUCCGUCCCACAAUGUUCCCCUUCCCUCUUACCCAGAGAUGCCAGACGAAAAUCGCCAUCAACCGUGAAAAAUUUACGUGUCCUUGACCCGAUCGGGAGUACCUUCCACCGUCGCACUCAAACCCACCGUCGCAUCGUCUUCUUCAUUGACCGGAGUCUCAGAGAUCCGUUGGGGGUCCACGAGCUUGAAGGGCGCUCGAGAUGAGAUAGAGGACGACGUAGUCAUCCGACUCGACGGACUCGAGGGGUUCUCCGUUGCCGCUGUAUUUGACGGCCACUCAGGGUUCUCUUCCAUCAAGUUCCUCAGGUUCAAUGAUUAUUGAUUAAUUGUUACCGAUAAUCUUCAAAGGUUUCAUCUCUUCGCCUUCUCUUUCAAUUCUUUAGUACGCUUUAUGUGCGCCUGCUUGGAGUAAAAGGUAGGAAUCUUGUGCUUUAUUGAAUGGAGAAGAAGCGGUUGCUUGUGCUUUGGCCGUCUAUAAUCUUUUGUUAAAUUUCAGGAUUCUCAUGUUUUGUGUGCUGGACGGGGUUUGCUUUUAUGCAAUUUUUUCUUAUAAUUUCUUGUUGGGAUUGGGCGGAUUUUUUGAUGUGAAGAUGGGUUAUUGAAGCAAAUGGAGCAUCAGGUACGCUCUACACUGGUGAAACAUAUCAACUUAAGGUUGAUUUUCCUGAGCAUUACCCUUUGGAAGCCCCUCAGGUUAUAUUUCUUCAUCCUGCCUUGCUGCAGCCUCAUAUAUAUAGCAAUGGCCAUAUAUGUUUAGCAACGCCUGAAGACAAUGAUCGUUACGUAAAGAAUUGCAGAAAUGGAAGAUCCCCAAACGAAACCACAUGGUGGUUCCAUGAUAAUAAAGUGUAACCACCGAAUAAAGACUUUCGAUUGCCGCCGGGGCUAGUCAAAAGAACAAAAAGGCUACGACUAGAACCCCAGCGGGGCAACUCCAAAUCAUGGGGACGACUCCCCCUGAGACGAGCAAAUUCUUUCUUAAUAGAGAGAGUUCCCUUUACCUUUGAAGUAGAUGAAUAGAGAAAUGCAAACAUAAGAGCAAUUCAUUCAGGGACUGCAAUUUUGGUCUGAAUGCAUUAUGAGUUAUGAUUCCUGGAAUGGCAAUGGUCGUUAUCUGUAAAAGGAAGAGGGAUAAUUUGUGUGAGGAACAAACUUGGUUCACUAUGCUUGAUUACUCGAUUUUAGGUAUUAGUACCGUGUUAGCACAUGAAUUCAAUUUUUAUCAUUUCAGAUGACCAAUUGUGUGGAUGUUGUGUUUCUGGUUCAACUUUGGAAGUGUAUUUGGCCAAUAAUCCCCUCCCAAUGAUAAGUUUUAGAGACGGA